UUGUGCAUAUGUCUUCCAAAAACUCAGCUGAAGGUAGCUAACUUUAGAACGGCAGCGAGCAUAACAUGUGGUGAGUAGAGAGAAGAAAGAUGCUGAACAAAUCAGGCACCAUCCUAGAAUCUGAAGAAGAAAGAAAUAUUGAGUACAGGAAUCAGCCCCAGGUCCUUCUCAUUCUGAUGAAGAAUCAGCAGGUCAGUGUGCUCAGCCUAAGCUAUGACAUGAUGUGCAUGGUUUCCUUGUGACUGUGUUUAGAGAGGAGAAGCUCACACAAUGAUAAAUGUUCGGGCCUGCCACUGACUGAAUGGAGCCUGGUGCCUGAGGACAUAUACCAUAAAUCAAUCAUUCUGUCAUAAGAGUUGUAAGUUAUACCCUUCUUCAAUAAAAGACACAAGACAUU